rnacentral:lncRNA from 1 species
GUUUUCAGGUUCAAAAUUUGAAUAAGCAUCGCACGGCCUAAACAAGACAUCUGUGGAUGAGACCCAGCCAGCAGGCUGCUGCUUUGACCUUCCAGACAGUUUUGCGACCUCAGGUUCCAUCAGGAGGCCCAUUCAGAACAAAUAAACAGGAAUUCAAGCCAGAGCCUCUGACACCAAUAUUAGCCCUUUUCGAGCAAAUCUUCACUCCUACCCCUCCCGGCAAAGAGAAAAGCCAGUGCAAAGGCAUCCUUCCUGGUGUUGCUCGCGUGGCUCAGCCAAGAUCGAUACAAGAGCUAACUCCUUCCGGCAUGAUGGACACCUGGGAUCCCAAAACAGCUGGGCUGGAAGGGCCCUCGAGAAAGGAACUGCCAACACGUGCCCUGUGUCAGGCCCUGAAGGUGGGCAUUUUCGUGAACAUUGUCAUAACACUCUGCUUCGAGAGCCUUCCCCUGAAAGAUGAAGUCCUCGCCACACGGGGAGGCAGACAUUAUAGAUUCCUGGAUCUCUCGGACGUCUUUUCUCCCUCACCCUCAUUGAUCCCCACUUGCGACAGAAAUUCUUCCCCUCCACUAGCGAGUGAAGGCACGAGACUACAUUUCCCUGGAGGUCGUCAGAAGCGGGUGGCGAGGAGAGAAGGAAACAGACUCUCCGUUUCUGUCUGCUCUCAAUUUGGACUGUUGGCGGUGAUGCACAUUUCAACAGCCCAUGUCCUUUCUCUGUUGAGCAAAGGAAGGGACUACGUCGCCCAGCAGGCACUGGCGCGGAGGAUGUGCUAG